rnacentral:rRNA from 1 species
CCCUUAGAGUUUGAUCCUGGCUCAGAACGAACGUUGGCGGCAUGGAUGAGGCAUGCAAGUCGCGGGAAUGCCCAGCAAUGGGUGGAACCGGCGUAAGGGGCAGUAAGGCGUAGGUACCUACCCCGGGGUCCGGGAUAGCCCGCCGAGAGGCGGGGUAAUACCGGAUAACCUCGGGAGAGCAAAGCUCCGGCGCCCUGGGUGGGGCCUACGUGAUAUUACCUAGUUGGCGGGGUAACGGCCCACCAAGGGGGAGAUGUCUAGCGGGUGUGAGAGCACGACCCGCGCCACUCGCACUGAGACACUGGCGAGACACCUACGGGUGGCUGCAGUCGAGGAUCUUCGGCAAUGGGGGCAACCCUGACCGAGCGAUGCCGCGUGGGCGACGAAGGCCUUCGGGUUGUAAAGCCCUGUCGAGGGGGAGAAAGCCGCAAGGCGGAUCCAUCCCUGGAGGAAGCUCGGGCUAAGUUCGUGCCAGCAGCCGCGGUAAGACGAACCGAGCGAACGUUGUUCGGAAUCACUGGGCUUAAAGGGCGCGUAGGCGGGCUGCCGCGUCCGGGGUGAAAUCCCACGGCUCAACCGUGGAACGGCCCCGGGUACGGGCGGCCUCGAGGGGGGUAGGGGCGUGCGGAACUGUGGGUGGAGCGGUGAAAUGCGUUGAUAUCC